rnacentral:piRNA from 1 species
CGGGACUUGGCUCUGUUUCCCAGG